CGGCUCUGAAAGGAAGAAAACACACAAAGAAGAAGAAAGAGAAAUUUUCGAUCAUUUACCUUGCCAAAUUCUCUCUCUUCUUCUUCUGCCACUUAAAGAACAAGAGAAGAAAACUUGGUUAGGGUUUUUCUGGCUUGGCUUUGAUCCCAUGCUGUCUCCCCCACUGUAGCGGCGGGAUUCCACCGUCAAAUGUCUCUACUCCAAUCCUCCACCGUUGAUUGCCCCUCUCAACGCUCAUCCACCACUGCCGCGCCCGUCGUCACCGGGCACGAUCACCGCGUCUCGUCCAAGCGCAAAUUGGACGAUUACGCGCCGACUUUGGAAGACGAUGACGACUUGUAUUUCUCGGACCUAGUCUCCGUCAGGAUGCGAAAAGACCAGUCCCUAGCCGUGGAUUCUUCCUUCACCGGUAAGAAUCAAUCAUUGUCGCCCUCUUCUUCAAGCCACUUCGAUACUCGCGUUUCCGAUGCGAAAUCUGCUCAUUGCUCAUGCUCGUCCUCUCCUCCGGGGAGCACUCGGUCGGCUUACCGGCUUCAAUUUUUUAUAAGAAUGAUUUCC
rnacentral:misc_RNA from 1 species